rnacentral:rRNA from 1 species
AUACGGAGGGUCCGAGCGUUAUCCGGAAUCAUUGGGUUUAAAGGGUCCGUAGGCGGGAAUCUAAGUCAGUGGUGAAAUCUUGCAGCUCAACUGUAAAAUUGCCAUUGAUACUGGAUUUCUUGAAUUAGUGUGAAGUGGUUAGAAUGUGUAGUGUAGCGGUGAAAUGCAUAGAUAUUACACAGAAUACCAAUUGCGAAGGCAGAUCACUAACACUAUAUUGACGCUAAGGUACGAAAGCGUGGGGAGCGAACAGGAUUAGAAACCCCAGUAGUCC